UUGACCUGGUGGCACUUUGCUGGAGUUCACUGAUGCUGGUGAAGAUGAGAUCUAGUCCUGUAGCCUGCCUCCAAAAGAGCUGUAUCUGUGUUCUGUGUGCUACCCAUCAGCCCUCCAGUGCCAUCACCCUGUGAUCUUGUCUGCACAACCUCUGGCACUUGACAGAGCUUGAAGGCUGGAAGCUUUUAUGGGCAAGAUGGCACCUGAGACCCUGGGGAUUUGCUGUCACCUCUGCUGCACCACCGGAUGGGCUGUGGCGAUGGGGGCAGUCGCAAAGCAAAUGAUGUCCUGCAAGGAAAAUAUCCACAGCCUGACAGCGUCAGCAUAUGCUCCAUUCA